GUGCUCACUUAGGCAGCAUAUAUACUAAAAUUGAAACUAUACAGAGAAGAUUAGCAUGGCCCCUGCACAAGGAUGACACACAAAUUUGUGAAGUGUUCCAUAUUUUU
rnacentral:snRNA from 1 species